GGAUAAACCAUACUCAGUUGAUGUAUUAUAAAGCAUCACUGGGUAGAGUUUGUCCAA
rnacentral:pre_miRNA from 1 species